CUUCUGAGGAACACACAGGCCCAUGGGAUACUCCAAAAUCAGGGACCGAGGUCAGAAAGACAAGCAAGGACCAUGUUCUUAGCUGUUUUAAACAAGGGGCGGACAUGUUCCCCUUGGUCCUCCAGCCACUGUGCAGACAUGGCUGGAAUCAAAGAUCCAAGAGCUGGAACCAGUGGGCAAGAAGACAACCUCCAAUAACUUCACAUACAACCGGACCAAACUCAAGUGUCCCUCGCCUGAAAACCCUUUCCUCUACACUGUCCGGAACAGUCAGAUUCUUCUAGACAAGGCUAAAGAAAACUCCAAUACACUCUACUGGGCAGUGCCAGUGGCUGCAGUAGGUGGCCUGGUAGUUGGCAUCCUUGGAAUGAUGUUGUGGAGAACUGUGAGACUCGUCCAAUAGAAGGAGGAGGAGACUUUUCCAAAUACAAGUGUGGACCUUGAGUUGACCCAGGAUGCUGUUUCAGAGGAGAAGCUCAGAGAUUGACCCUUGGUACCAGACAGCAAUUACGUAAUCUCAGGGAUGGGGACUGCGUGCCUUUCUCUCUUGGGAGUUCACCAUCUUCUUUUGGAAAGAUAAAUAAGAAAGAGUGGCUACACUCAGU
rnacentral:lncRNA from 1 species